GUCUUUUUGAUAAUAAUUUAAAGUCUAAUCUGCCCACUGAUAAUUUAUUAAAGGGCUGCAGUAUUUUGACUGUACAAAGGUAGCAUAAUCAUUAGUCUCUUAAUUGGUGACUUGUAUGAAAGAUUGGAUGAAAUAUAAUCUGUCUCUAAUUAAUAUAUAGAAUUUAAUUUUUUAGUUAGAAAGCUAAAAUAGAUUUAAAAGACGAGAAGACCCUAUAGAGUUUUAUAUUUUAUUUAAUUAUUAUUUAUAUGUAAAUUUUAUAUUUAAGAUAAAAUAAAAUAUUUUGUUGGGGUGAUAGAAAAAUUAAAUUAACUUUUUUUAAUGUUAAACAUUGAUAUAUGAGUUUUUGAUCCAUUUAUAGUGAUUAAAAGAAAAAAUUACCUUAGGGAUAACAGCGUAAUUUUUUUUUUUAGUUCAAAUAGGAAAAAAAGUUUGCGACCUCGAUGUUGGAUUAAGAUAAAAUUUAAAUGCAAAAGUUUAAAAUUUUGAUCUGUUCGAUCAUUAAAA
rnacentral:rRNA from 1 species